CCAGGGGGCUGGACGGCCGCCGGUGGCCACGCUUCGGCGUGCGCCACGGGAGGAAAGUCCGAACUUCACCGGACAGGGUGCCGGCUAACGGCCGGGCGGCGUGAGCCGACGGAAAGUGCAACAGAGACAGACCGCCUCAUGCGUCCCCGGGUGUCGUGUCUUUGGAUGCGGCAUCCUCGGCCGUGCGAGGUAAGGGUGAAACGGUGCGGUAAGAGCGCACCGGCGUCCUCGGUAACGGGGCGGCCGGGCAAACCCCACCCGAAGCAAGGCCAAAUAGGGGAGCGUAUGAGGUGUCCGGCCUCGCUCCCGGGUAGGUCGCUUGAGGCGGCGGGUAACCGUCGUCCUAGAUGGAUGGCCGUCGCCGCGCUCGCGCCGUUUACGACGCGGGAGCGGUACAGAAUUCGGCUUACAGGCCCCCUGGCAAC
rnacentral:RNase_P_RNA from 1 species